AACGAACGCUGGCGGCAGGCCUAACACAUGCAAGUCGAACGGGUACUUUCGGGUACUAGUGGCGGACGGGUGAGUAACGCGUGGGAACGUGCCCUUUGGUUCGGAAUAGCCCUGGGAAACUGGGAGUAAUACCGGAUGAGCCCUACGGGGGGAAAGAUUUAUCGCCAAAGGAUCGGCCCGCGUUGGAUUAGCUAGUUGGUGAGGUAAUGGCUCACCAAGGCAACGAUCCGUAGCUGGUUUGAGAGAAUGACCAGCCACACUGGGACUGAGACACGGCCCAGACUCCUACGGGUGGCUG
rnacentral:rRNA from 1 species